GCAAACAUGACCUGCUUGUUAGUGUGCGGCUUGUACUUUCAGACAGGACCGGUGCUGUGGUUGUCCUCACUAACCAGAAACCAAAUGAGUGCUACAAGCAAUGCAAAGAUUCAUCAAUUAGUGUUAAUGUCAGUGGUGUCUUGGUGUGGUGGACAUGUGUCCACAUUUUGACCUGAGGCCAGCUGAUCUGUCUGCAGCUGCUGCUUGACUCAAGAUACAGUAUAAAACGAGACUGAGCCACAGAGUGAAUGUAUCAGACUGUUAGCCGGAGCCUCAGGGUGAUCUCAUCGAGCUCAGUCUGCAGCAUACAGGCCGACGUCUUCAAGCUACAGUACAUAGCAGAAUACUGGAAUUCGAAGUUUACACUGGACGGCGGACAAGUGAAAGGAAGGGCUAAAAAGCGUCCAGCAGGAGAGCAGCGCACAGGAGUUUUUGUAAUUUAGAUCAAUGAUGCAGAAAAUAGAUGCUUUUCGGGCAGCAGUAUUUUACUGUAGAGCCUGUCUGAAGUGCUUUCAAACCACUAGUGACAGAUGGUCCUGGGUGUCUGACAUUGUCUCCUAUCGAUCCCUCCAGGGGGUCAAGAAAACAAAUGGGGUCAAGGUAAUGCAUGUGUCUGCACGAUACAUAACUCCUUUUUUUAAAAACUUAAUUUGAUAGGCCAUCUGGUCUUUCAUGUGCUGAUGAAGUUUCCUCAUCUGAGUGUAAAGAAUUAAUUAAUUGUUGUUGUAAACUUAAUUGUUGUAUUUAAAUAAAUACCAUCUUAAAAUCUGCCAUUAUUUAAAACUGUAGAAGGUUAUGUCCUCAAAAGUCCAGAGCAAAGGUUUUAAAAUAACUUUGGGAGUGAUUAAUUGUGGAAAUUAAACUCUUCAAGUGAAGUGGACUUUCAGGAAAUGUCAAAUUGAGCUCUGACAGCA